GGCCUGUUUCUCCUGAGUCUGCAACUCAAUCUUCACAGCGAAAGAAAUUUGACAUUGAAGAAAAAAUGGCGUCUAAUGAUGAAGAUGAAGAUGCAGUGAUGUAUGACGAUAUUGGAGCCGUCGGACUGCACUGAUCAACAACCACAGAAACGAGUCCACUGCUGUUAGAGAGCAACACAUUUUACACAAAUACACAUUUUCUCUUUGAUUUAUUU